GAUGAAGAACGUAGCGAAAUGCGAUAAGUAGUGUGAAUUGCAGAAUUCAGUGAAUCAUCGAAUCUUUGAACGCACAUUGCGCCCUUUGGUAUUCCAAAGGGCAUGCCUGUUCGAGCGUCAUUUGUACCCUCAAGCUUUGCUUCGUGUUGGGCGUCUUGUCUCUAGCUUUGCUGGAGACUCGCCUUAAAGUAAUUGGCAGCCGGCCUACUGGUUUCGGAGCGCAGCACAAGUCGCACUCUCUAUCAGCAAAGGUCUAGCAUCCAUUAAGCCUUUUUUUCAACUUUUGACCUCGGAUCAGGUAGGGAUACCCGCUGAACUUAAGCAUAUCAAUAAGCGGAGGA
rnacentral:misc_RNA from 1 species